GAAACCAGCAGUACAUAGACUAAAACCGAAAUGGUACAGAGAAGAUUAGUGUGGGCCCUGCACAAGGAUGGGACACAAAUUCGUCAAGUGUUCAUAUUAUAU